UGGCCUCAGAUCAGGGAGGAUCACCCGCU
rnacentral:rRNA from 1 species